AGCGAACGCUGGCGGCAGGCCUAACACAUGCAAGUCGAACGGACCCUUCGGGAUCAGUGGCGGACGGGUGAGUAACCCGUGGGAACGUGCCCUUGGGUUUGGCACAACUCAGGGAAACUUGAGCUAAUACCGGACGGGCCCUUCGGGGGAAAGAUUUAUUGCCAUUGGUGCGUCCCGCGUCUGAUUAGCUAGUUGGUGAGGUAAUGGCACCCCAAGGCGACCAUCAGUAGCUGGUCUGAGAGAAUGAUUAGCCACACUGGGACUGGGACACGGCCGAGAAUCCUACGCGAGGCGGCAAUGGGGGAUCUUGCACAGUGGGGGGAAGCCUGACGCAGCCAUGCCGGGUGAAUUAUGAAAGUAUUGGGAUUGUAAAGUUCUUUCAGCGGGGACGGUAAUGACGGUACCCGAAGAGGAAGCCCCGGCUAACUUCGUG
rnacentral:rRNA from 1 species